CACCAACUCACACAUCUCACCCUCGAUUCCCCCCUGACCACCAGUCGUCCCUUCCAAAUUCUCUGCUCUGCUUACUCCUGAAACCUCCGGACCAACAGCUGGACACUUUAGUCGAUCACCGUCCGCUGUCUGUACUCCACAAACACACGUUCCUCCAUCCAUCCAGCCCACUACUGCCACCGUCACCUGAGCAUCAUGCGGGUGCUACUGGAGAGCAGCUGGAUGAGGUUUGGACCAGCAGGCAGAGGGUCGUACGACUGGGUGACAGGACCGCCUCCAACACAGGAGCAGCAGGGCUUUAACUGGAAUGAGUUGGAAAUGGGAGAGGACAGAAAGUCAGAGCUGGUGGUCUACAUUGUCCUGCCGGUCGUCUCUGUCCUCCUGCUGGCUCUGCUGGUUGCUCUGAUCUAUCGGCGUUGUUCCCGCAGUAAGCUGAGUCUGGCCAACAUCAUCGCUCUGGACCUGCAGGACGCCGAGAGCAGCGCCGAGUUCCUCUCCUCCCUGACCAGGAACGCUGAGCGCCACACCAGCACCAGCUCUGAUGGAUCAGAUGGAGUCUUUGUCAUGGUCUACCUGCCUCCACCUUACGAGGAAACGCUCACAAAGAUCACCCGGGCUGCCAGCCUGUCCAGCUCCAAAGAUGUGGAGUCGAUAAAGAUAGAAGAUCUGGAGGCCAAGCUGUGUCCAGAGCUCAGGUCCAGUGGUCAAUAUGUGUGACAUGGUGUUUUUGCCAGUGUAAAAAGACAUUAUAAAUCCAAGGUUUUUGUUUUUUUUAUAACUUUGUGUUCUGUAAAUUAUACUCAGCUUCUUUAACUAUCAUUCAGUUCUGCUGCUCUAUUGCUCUAUGAAGAUAUUUAACCGCUUUUAUCACCUAGGUUGGAUUUUAGUGCACAUUUCAGCUGCUGUCAACUCUUGUCAACUUCAUUUCCAGCAGCAGAUGGCAGCAAACAAACUCUGAUGAACUACCUACUCAACAGCAAACAACUGAUAGAUGAUUUAAGGACUAACUGGGGAAGAAAAAGGAACAUUCAGUCAUUAAAGAGCCAACCUGCAGCUAAAGGACAUGAGUACCAUCCACAGCAGGAGAACAGUGCUCUGUCUACCAGACGUGUUGUUGGACACUCCUCUGUGGGUUGUCAGCUUGUUUUGGUUUUCUUCUGCUCUCUAAUAUCCGCAAAACAAUAAACUGCAGCCUUUAACACCACUUCAUUAUAAGUGAUCACUCUGAUUGAACAUUUCAAGCACUUAUUGGCUCUGUUUGGUUGGAGAAGGUAGCAGCUGAUGGGAGUGUUCUGUGUAUCUGGUUCCACAGCACAGAACUGAACAUACUGCAGUGUUGAUGAAAUCAAGACUAUCUAGAGAGCAUCUGCAAAUUACCUGACAGUCCAUCCAAUAUUGUUGGAGAGACUCAUCACUACAGUCAGCAGGUUCCAUCCUAUACAGUAGAAACCUUGAAACACUAUGAUGUUGAGAUGUUUCUCAGUGAGUGAAAACAUUGACCUGCUGGUGGAACAGAUGAAAAGGCUGAAGAAUAACUUAGAAACAGCCAGUUAAUAAGAGACACAGCAGAGAAACAGCUGUGCUGUAAAGCAUCAUAAAGAAAUGUAGUCAAAUGGACUUAUGAUACUUUGCUUAAGGUAAAAAUGUGAGUUUUGCUAAUUGAACUGAAUAUUUACAUUCUUGACCUGUCCAGGUGUCCCCUGCCUUCAACCUAAGUCACCUGGGAUAGACUUCAGCCCACCCACAACCCUACAACUUGUUAGUUGAUAAGUUCUUAGAACUUGAGCCAUUUUGCCCUAAAAGCAUGAGUUGAAUGAUUGAAUAGCUGAGAGUUCAUUGAACUAAUUAAAGUAAAUUUUUAAGAAAUAUCCUUCCAUCAUCUAUAACUGCUUUAUCCUCUGUACGGUCCGGGGGGCUGGAGUCUAUCCCAGCUGACUUAGGGAGAAGGCAGAAGACACCUGGACAGGUCACACAGGGCCACAUAUAAAGACAGGCAAUUAAGUACACUCACAUUCACACCUACAGACAAUUUAGAAUUACCAAUUAACCUCAGCAUAUUAUUUAGACUGUGGGAGGAAGCCAGAAAACAUGGUGACAACCCAAGCUGCACUGGGAGAAAAUGCAAACUCCACACAGAAAGAUCCCAGGGAUCUUUUUUCUAACCACCAAGCUACCCUGCUGCCCCCUGAUGAGUACAAUAAUAUAAUAAAAUGCGACCUCUAGUGGUGACAACAGGAGCUGCAGCAUAGUGUUCAUUAGUUUUGUGGCUUUAAACAUCUUUAAACCAGCAUGGUAUGAAGUUAGAAGUGAGAAAUUUCUAUACUGUAUGUUAUAUGGUGAUGCUCUGUGAAUGUGGCUGUUCAUGACUGUGAUGGACUGUUGAGCUAUCCAGGGUGGAUCCUGCCUCUCACCCAGUGUCAGCUGGGAAAGAUUCCAACCACCAUUACACUCUACAGGAUAAACUGGUGGAUGGGUGGAAGGAUGGAAUAAUGUCUCUGAGCAGAUACCCCCUGCUGCUCUUUAAGUUUAGGUCUGACAGGUUGAGACAGAAAAUCAGAUUAUGAAUUUCUUUUGAAAUAGCAAAGGAUAGUUUUUUAAGUGUUCUGUUGCCAGAAUUAGCCCAGUGUGUGACAGUUUGUGGUGAUUAUUGAAACUAGUUUUUAUUCCAAACUUGUCAGUAGUGAUACAUGAUAGAAAAUACAUAGCUUUGAGACACUGGAAUAGAUAGUGAGAAGAUGUUGCAAGGGAAGAACUGAGCAAAAUGUUAAUAAAGUUGAGGAGACUAUUGGUUUAUUAUGACAUGAAAUAUUCAGUACUUACCUACCACACAUCCACUACUGUCCCUUAUAUCUGUGACUGUAAUUACAGAAAUCAUCGUGUGUAUAGUACAGUGGUGGUGAUCUAGCCAUACAAUCAAAUCAUUUCUUCACAUGUUGUCACUACAGUAACAUGCUCAAAGUUAGAUGAUCCUUUCAAUAAAGCCAGUGUUCGUGUUACAUAAUGUUUUGGCUUCCCAUUGUUUCAGACUGACCUGCUUCAGGUGUCAGGCUUUGUUUUACUGGAUCAAAUGCAUCAACAUCAUUUUCAGUUCUAUAGCAACUCACAUGUAAGCUGUUGUGUAAUGCAUACAAAACCCUUUGUCUACAGCAGGAGGUACUGAAAACUGUGUUGUGUAUGCCAUCUGACUGGAAACCAACAGGACAGGUUUUAAUAAAGAAAGCUGUGCAGCAAAACCUCUCCAGCAAAGAGAAGCUGAAAAAAAAAGGGUGGCAAAAACAUCUCUGCAGAAAUAUGGUACCCUCCAUAAUGUCGAGGGCUGAGUCUGCCUUCAAAAAUAAAGGUGGGUAUAUGAAGUAUUUUUGAAAGUCAUCAAUAAAAGGUGUGCUGACUUGUUGC
ensembl:lncRNA